GACCCCUAUUCACUAUCCUGUAACCUCUGACCCCUAAACCCUGGUCACUAUCUUGUAACCUCUGACCUCUGACCUAGGCUCUGAGGGGGUCCGUGGGCGGUCCCAGCGGCCCAGCUGUGACGCCGAGUUCGCUCGCGCUCUGAAGGUCUUCUACCACAACAUGACCUCCGUCAGAGGUCAGCUGCAGCGCCUCCGCCGCCACCGAGCCAGCGAGGAGUCGGAGCAGCUGGGUCUGCGUCUCUUCGUGGACGAGCAGGGCCGCCUGCUGAAGGACUUCUCGGAGCAGCUGGAGCUCUGCGUCUCCUCGCUCAAACAGGACGUGGCCGCCAUCGUCCGCAGGAAGCGCGAGCGGUCGGGGAUCUGGUCCUGAUGGCCUCUCCCUCUCCCGAUCUUCAGUCAUGGGAUGUCCAGCGGACGAUGGAGAGAAUGAUAUACAACCUAGCUUGUGUUAAUAAUGCAGCUUUCACAUCUCUUCAAAACCCCAGUUAUGGAUCAGUCCACUUGAACCUGAAUUAAUAAAUUGCGAAACAAAACCGAAUUAUGAUUGAACAAACUUUAGUGCAACAAACAAUUCUGAUACUAAAACACCGCAUCAGAUGGAUAAUUCAUGUUUUUUUUUCAUGACGACCAAUAAAAAACAACAGCCGUUAUCCUUAUGUUUUUUUUCAUGACGACCGAUAAAAAACGACAGUGAUACCCCUUAUGUUUUUUUUCAUGACGACCAAUAAAAA
ensembl:lncRNA